CCUGGAUGCUUGCAUCCAGGGGUUGUAGGACUGAUGUUGAGUUACAAAGGUAUAAGAUAGCAGAAACAGUUGGGAAGCUGUUCCAAAGAGGGUGACAGGCCCGUAUGCGAAAUCUUGUACUCUCUAAUCAGGAUCCUGAGUACGGCCCAGCACGUGAAAUUGGGUCGGAAUCUGGGAGGACCAUCUCCCAAGGCUAAAUACUAACUAGUGACCGAUAGCGAACAAGUACCGUGAGGGAAAGGUGAAAAGAACCCCGGAAGGGGAGUGAAAUAGUUCUUGAAACCGUGUGCUUACAAGAAGUUCGAGGCCGUUAAUGGCUGAGAGCGUGCUUUUUGUAGAAUGAACCGGAGAGUUACGAUUGCGUGCAAGGUUAAGGUGCAAAGACUGGAGCCGUAGCGAAAGCGAGUCUUAAUAGGGCGAAUCAGUACGUAGUUGUAGACCCGAAACCGAGUGACCUAUCC
rnacentral:rRNA from 1 species